rnacentral:misc_RNA from 1 species
CUGAUUGAUGAGUCUACUCAGGCAACAGAACCUGAGUGUCUUAUUCCUUUAGUUCUUGGGGCAAAGCAGGUUGUCCUGGUUGGUGAUCAUUGCCAGCUUGGUCCAGUCAUUAUGUGCAAGAAAGCAGCUCGUGCUGGGCUAGCUCAGUCUCUUUUUGAACGUCUUGUUUUACUUGGUGUGAAACCUAUUAGAUUGCAGGUUCAAUACCGCAUGCAUCCAUCUCUCUCGGAAUUUCCAUCUAACAACUUUUAUGAAGGUACCCUGCAAAAUGGUGUGACUGUGAAUGAGAGGCAGUCAUCAGGAAUCGAUUUCCCCUGGCCUGUGCCUAAUCGUCCCAUGUUCUUUUAUGUCCAGAUGGGACAAGAAGAAAUAAGUGCCAGUGGGACAUCCUAUCUAAACCGUACAGAGGCAGCAAAUGUUGAAAAAAUUGUAACUACUUUCUUGAGGAGUGGUGUGGUCCCUUGUCAGAUUGGGGUAAUAACACCUUAUGAAGGGCAGCGAGCAUAUAUUGUGAACUAUAUGUCAAGAAAUGGUGCUCUCAGACAGCAACUUUACAAAGAAAUUGAGGUAGCAAGUGUUGAUUCUUUUCAAGGUCGGGAAAAAGAUUACAUUAUUUUGUCUUGUGUUAGAAGUAAUGAACAUCAGGGUAUUGGAUUUCUUAAUGAUCCUCGGCGGCUUAAUGUUGCUCUAACACGUGCUCAGAACUUUAGGAUUCCCAAGGAUGACAAUCCCAUAUCUAGCACAACAGCCUCUGUGGAAUAGCUUAUUGACACAUUACAAGGAACAUGAGUGCUUGGUUGAAGGACCUCUAAAUAACUUGAAGCAGAGUAUGGUUCAAUUUCAGAAGCCCAGGAAGAUCUAUAAUGAUAGGAGGCUCUUCUUUGGUGGAGGUCCUGGAAUUAUAUCUAAUGACAAUUUUGGUUCUGUUGCCUCAUCUAGCCCAAAUGCUGAUAAAAGAAGCUACCGAGGCAGGGGUUCGUAUAUGCCACCUGGGCCACCUAAUGGUAACCAUAAACCUGGUGUGCAUCCUACUGGGUUCCCAAUGCCUAGGGUUCCCAUUCCUCAAUUUCCUGGUGGUCCACCUUCUCAGCCAUAUGCUAUUCCAACUCGUGGUGCUGUGCACGGGCCUGUUGGUGCUGUUCCUCAUGUCCCUCCACCAGGAAGUCGAGGUUUUGGGGCUGGACGAGGCAAUGCUGGUGCUCCUAUUGGCAGUCAUCUUCCACACCAGCAAAGCACACAGCAGACAAUUGGAAAUAUGGGAUCUGCUUUCAACUUUCCUGCCCUGGAGAAUCCAAAUAGUCAGCCAUCCGUGGGUGGCCCACUAUCUCAGCCUGGAUAUGUUAAUAAUAUGCCAGCUCAAGGGCUGAGCCAAACAUUUCGUGAUGGAUUUUCUAUGGGUGGCAUGUCUCAGGACUUCUUGGGUGAUGACUUCAAAAGCCAGGGAUCACAUGUUCCAUAUAAUGUUGCUGACUUUUCCACUCAGGCAUCACAAAGUGGAUAUGCUGUUGAUUAUGUGACCCAGGGAGCACAGGGUGGGUUCCCAGGCAACUUUAUGAAUCAGAAUUCUCAAGCUGGAUUUUCUCGUUUUGGUUCUGGAAAUGAUUUCAUGUCUCAGGGGCUGUUCACCCAGAUUGGCUUCAAUGAUCCCUCACAAGAUGAUGCAUCACAGAACCACUUUGGCAUAGCCAAUCCAAACCCAC